GGCAAUGCUUCCCUGUCUCCUUCUGUACUGUGGAAGCUUUGCUCUUUUACUCUGCAAUAAAUCUUGCUGCUGCUAACUGUUUGGGUCCACGCUACCUCUAUAAGCUGUAACACUCACCAUAAAGGUCUUACAGCUUCAUUCCUGAAGCCAGUGAGACCACGAACCCAGCAGGAGGAACGAACAACUCCAGACGCGCUGCCUUAAGAGCUGUUAACACUCACCGCAAGGUCUGCAGCUUCACUCCUGAAGCCAGAGAGACCACGAACCCAGCAGGAGGAAUGAACAACUCCAGAUGCGCCGCCUUAAGAGCUGUAACGCUCACCGCGAAGGUCUGCAGCCUCACUCCUGAGCCAGCGAGACCACGAACCCACCAGAAGGAAGAAACUCCGAACACAUCCGAACCUCGGAAGGAAGAAACUCCAAACACAUCCAAACAUCAGAAGGAACAAACUCUGCACACACCGCCUUUAAGAACUGUAACACUCACCACCAGGGUUCGCGGCUUCAUUCUUGAAGUCAGUGAGACCAAGAAGCCACCAAUUCCGGACACAAUAUGAAAAGUACCUUUCACCUCCCACCAUGAUUCUGAGGCCUCCCCAGCCAUGUGGAAAUGUAAGUCCAAUUAAACCUAUUUUUGUUCCCAGUUUCAGAUAUGUCUUUAUCAGCAGCAUGAAAACAGGCU
rnacentral:lncRNA from 10 species